CCACACCCACGGCAUGCAGAAGUUCCUGGGCUAAGGACUGAACCUGCGCCACAGCAGCAACCCAGGCCACUGCGGUGACAAUGCCAGCUCCUUAACCCCCUGUGCCAGAAGGGAACUUCACCACUAAAGCAGUUUUACCUUUACAAAUGAUCAUCACAGUUCUUUUAAUUUUUCUCCAACGGUCUUCUUUGCCAAGCUUCUAGGCAGGCUCUAGAAAUGGCCUGUCAAAUAUCCUGCUGAUGUCGGAAGAAUGGUUAAAAUGCUGGUGUGACUAGCUUUGCUGUUGCAGGCCUGGAAAAAGACUUACGGUUUAUUUGGAAAGGUCUGAGAGGAGGCUGUAAUCCUUUCAUGGCUUUAUUGUGGGACCUCUUUAGCUUUCCCACAAAUCCCUCAGGCUGGCAAAGACGGCCACGGCCAGGUCGGUUUUACUAUCCUGUCUGUCCUCACAUGUGGCAUUCUCACUCUGCCUUUUUCUGCUCACAGUGUUUACAAGUACUGGCUAGAGCCCAUUCCACGGGAAAGAGGUCCCGCGAGUAAGGGGCAGGCAGUGAAAGUUGCAGAUCUAACAACAUUUGGCAUCUUCCGGGAGAAUGCAGGCCCCCUGAGGACAGAGACCACACCUACCUGCUCACCUGUGUCCCCAGCGCCUGGCAUGCUGCCUGGCACACGGCAAGUGCCCAAUAUCUUUAUAGAAUGAAUAAAUGAAUGAAUGUACCCUAGGUGCCAAACACGUCCACGCGCAAAAUACUGGAGAUCUUUUUUUUUUUCCUGUGUGUGAAAACGGAGAGCCCGCAGCCCUUAUCAGUCAGCAAGGCCUCAGCCCCAGACCUCUGCACCCCACUGCAGUCCCUUGCAACCCACUGCUUCCCAUAAGACACCUCCCUUCCUCAAGCCACCUUGCUUUACCGUUGCUAUUCUCUCGCCCAAGUUCAACUUGUCUGGACCGAGUCUGGACCACAGUGCUGCCAUGAUCAGGAACUCUCCUUCCCACAGUUAAGUAACCCACAUGCAUUGCUAUCGCUCUAAAGUUUGCUGCACCCAGGAUCUUCCCUUCUGCUCUUAAGGUCUGCAGCCACUUCAGGGAGAUUCUGCGUGUCUCCCAGAAGCUUUUCUUUGAGUAAAUUAUUGUUGAGAUAUUAGAAACGCUGGCUGCCGCCGAGCCACCACCUGCCAGCAGUGGGCUUCACAACCCAGGGGUCUGGCAUAGCAGCUCGUGGGAGACCCCUGGUUGGGGUGGAAGCCCAUCUAGUUUUAGGCUCCCCAGCAUACCCACAUCAAGCUGCACUCUGGUUCCAAAUUCAGUGCACCCUGAGUUUCUCCCUCCAGCCCACGGCCAUGGGCUCCUGGACAUUGCUGGCCUAAGGGCCCCAGGGAACGGGAGGACAGGGCUCUGUUUGGGUCACCCUCCAGCCCCAGCCCCAGGAUGCAGCGCCUCAAGGUGCAGGCUCUCCCCCUGCCCGCAGCCAGAGCCAGAAAGACAAAGACAAAUACCAGAAGAAACAUUUUAAAGGGAAGAUUCAAGGGCAGGAGGAGGCUUGGAAUCCAGAAGCAGUAGGCUGUCCUGAGUUCAGAUCACCACCUAUACUUUCCAGAUCCAGCGAGGGUCUCUCAUUCCAAAUCCAACUCCACCCGGAAGGUCACGGCCUCCUCCUGGGUGACCGCGGGUCCCCGUACGGCCCCUCCUGGCUGCACUAGGGGGCGCUACAGAGCAGGCGCUAACACAGAUCGGAUGCGCGUGCCUUUGUGUUUUCAAAAGCCCCGGGCAAUUUCAAUACGGAGCAAAGGUGACCAGCCAGCAGUGAGACUUGUUCUGCGCGUCUCUGGGCCGCUCUUUCCAAACUCCCAGGGGAGGAUGUGACUCGCCCAGUCAGGCCGGGGAUUCGCUCCGGUUCAAUGAGCUUCGGCCACGGUGGAGCCGGGGGUAACUCAGCCCCGGGGACAAAGACGUGGAGGAGGAGGCAGUAGCGGCCCAGGACAUCAAGAUUCUGUGGUCACAGGGCACAGGCAAAGCCCUGGCCUGAGUGGACAGAGUACUUUGUGUCACUGGCACGGGUCCCAUCACGCUGUCUCUGCCUUUCAGGACAAAGGGAGGGGACUUGGUCCCCAGGCUUCGAGGCCGGCUAAGCAAGGCCAGGUGGCAGCAGGCACGAAUCCGGGGAGGUGGAGGUGGAAGCGAACAGCUGCGAAAUGAGGUUUCACGGAGGCAGCUUCUUGUUUGUCCAUCAGAAUGAGUAACUGCGAGCCAACUGGGGCGUCACAUUUUUCCAUCCAGAUUUGGGGGAGGGGUGGAGGUGGGGGGCGCUGACCAGGGGAAGUCCAUCCUCCAGGAGCCCCUGCGCCUGCCUGCCUUCCUCCAGGCCGCUCCUCCCACUCCCCAGCCUCGCCGAGGCCUCCUACUCCUGCUGCCAGGGGGGCGAGCGGGAACUCGGCACCCCGUGACUGUGACCGGCCUUGGCCCAACCGCAAGAGGUUUCUAUUUCCUGCUCCUCCAACUCAAAGUCAGAUCCUCCUGGGCCGUGGGUCCUAAAAUAAUUAGGAACUUCAGGAACAGCCCAGGGCGGGGGUGGAAGCCAGCAGCCUCUUUGUUUUUCGGUUCUGCUAGGACUUGUCUUCCCUUUGAAUAGUCUUCUCCUGGCCGCCCUGGCAACCAUGUCUCUAUACUUCUGCCCACUGGGUAAUGUAUGGAUGGGCUUUGAGUGAGGUUCCUCGGUUUGGUUUUUACAUCUCUGGAAGAGCGAAGGGGGUUAUUUUGCUAUGCCAAGAAAGAGGACUUACUUGAGACUUCGGAGGCCUUAAGACAAGUCCCAGAACUGCCAAUUACUGGUUUUGUAACCUCAGGCAAAUGACUUUAGUCACUUCCCUCCCCCGUUCUCCCGUGGCUAUGUUUAUAUUUCUGUUAUUACAUGCAUCAUGUUUCCCUGUUCCCUAGGAGAUGGUGAGCUUCUCAAGACUAAGCUUUUAUCUGUCUGGGUAACAACCACAGCGCUGGACACAGUGCCUGAUAUAGCAGAUGUCCAGAAAAUAUUACAGUUUACCCUCUCGAAGUCUAUAACGUUGAGAUAAUUAUACCAAAUUAUAAACAUUAAAUGAGGCAAGUCAUGUGAUUUAAAAACCAUAAAGAAUAAUAGCACGUAUGUCCAAACGUUGUAACAAUGUCAUUAUAAAAAUUUGUAUAGCUUUCUAAAAAUAUGGUUUUAUUAAAUUAUUCUCUUUUAUUGAAGUACAGUUGAUUUACAACUAUUAAGUUGUUCUUACUUCAACAUAAAGAACAGACUUGUGGUUGCCAAGGGGGAGGGGGUGAGGAGUGGGAUGGACUGGGAGUUUGGGGUGCGUUGUUUGGGGUCAGUAGAUCACAUUUCAAAUGGAUGGGCAGAGUUCCCCUCGUGGUGCAGCAGAAACGAAUCCAACUAGUAACCAUGAGCUUGCAGUUUCAAUCCCCGGCCUUGCUCAGUGGGUUAAGGAUCUGGCGUUGCUGCGGCUGUGGUGUAGACCAGCAGCUACAGCUCCCUUUCGACUCCUAGCCUGAGAACCUCCACAUGCCACAGGUGCAGCCCUAAAAAGCAAAAUAAUAAUAAUAAUAAUAAUAAAGUGGAUGGGCAAGGAGGUCCUACUGUUCCUGGGAUAGAAUGUGAUGGGGGGAUGUCCAGUCUCCUAGGAUAGAACAUGAUGGGGGAUGAUAUGAGAAAAAAAUGUGUAUUUACGUAUGGCUGGGUCACUUUGCUGUACAGCAGAAAAUGGCACAACGUUGUAAAUCAACUCUAAUAAGAACAUUAUUCUCACUUCAUCUUUGAAAAUAUGGUUAAGAGAUUUGUGAAGAAAAGCUAAGACUUGAUUCGCACUGAUUUUCUUAAUCACAUGACUUAUUCUGUUUCUAGCAUAAGCCUCUGUUCUCACCUGUGGGUUUUUUAUUAUUAUUAUUAUUAUUCAAGUAGUUAACAUUGUUUAAUGGUUGAUAUACCUUGUAUAAAGGAGGAUAACUCUAAACCAGAGUUUCUCAACAUCCGCACGACUGACAUUUGGGGCCAAAUAAUUCUUUGUUGGGAGCUGUCCUGUCCCUUGUAGGAUACUUAACGGCAUCUCUGCCCGCCUCUACCCGGGAGAUUCGGGUCUCACCCUCCCCCCACCAAGCUGUGACAACCUCCAAUGGCAAAGGCCCCCUGGAAGGAGGUCAGGUGCAAAGACGCCUCCCUCCCUUCCCUGCUGAGCACCACCGCUCUGACGUCUUGACUUAUCUUUUUUUCUCUUGCAUCUUUAAUGAUUAACUUUCUCCAUAUUUGAGAUGUAUGAACUCAGGUCUCUUAAGUGCUGCAGAAAAAAGACCAGACCCAAAGCAUUUUUCACUGACGCGGAUUUGAAGGUACUCAUAUCCUUCAACCUGCUUGACUGGUCCAAGAGAAAUUCCCAGCUUGCCAGAGAAAGUCCCUCUUCCUCCUUCCUUCUCUUCCAUACUCAGGGCUGGUACAGCCUCACUGUCAAUCCCUUACAUCCAGUCCCUGAAGAUCAAGCCAACAGUUCUAUCACCGUUUCUAGUAGGCUUCUUACCCCUAGGACCAGGGUGGCCUGACUUCUUAGAGUUCCCCGAGUCAACAUAAUCAAGACCCCUCGGAGACACUCACUGCACUAGAGGGACCCCAGGUCUAGAGCAUGUGUACCUUUGGGGGGGUCACUUUAUGUUACCACCAAGAACAAGCGUCUCCUAGGUGAACCAUACCUCUAUUCCUUUUUCCGCAGGUGACUUUGUAUCUCACCUCCCCCCCUUCCACUGGAUCUAUGUCUUCGUGGACUUACCCCCCAUUCACAGGCAACGACUUAGCUUUUCCAUCCCCCCGAUGGCUGGGGGUGGGGGGGACAGUGUCACAGUCCUGUCGCUGCACACAAGAUGCCUCCUGUCCUCCCAUCUCCGGUCUACCCUCCUUUGAAGAGCACAGCCCGUGGUUUGGCCUGACAUUCAUUUUCUCCAAAGUGCAAAAGCUGCUAUGAAUAGUCUCCACUUGGGUGUUCCCUUCAUGGCUCAGCAGUUAGCACACCUGAUUAGGAUCCAGGAGGAUGCGGAUUCAAUCCUUGGCCUUGCUCAGUGGGUUAAGGAUCUGGCUUUGCUGUAACUGUGGUGUAGGCCGGCAGCAAUAGCUCCGAUUUGACCCCUAGCCUGGGAACUUCCAUAUGUCUCAGGUGCGGCCCUAAAAAGAAAGAAAAA
rnacentral:lncRNA from 1 species